ensembl:misc_RNA Metazoa_SRP Metazoan signal recognition particle RNA
GCUGGGCAUGGUGGUGCAUGCCUGUAAUCCCAGCUACUUGGGAGGCUGAGGCAUGAGAAUUGCUUGAACCUGGGAGGCAGAGGUUGCAGUGAGGUGAGAUCGUGCCACUGCACUCCAGCCUGGGUGACAGAGUAAGACUCUGUCUCAA